rnacentral:lncRNA from 1 species
AGGACACGCGUCCCUCAGAGCAGCUGCGGGGAAAAUGGUACUGCUGUACCUCGGCUGUCGCGGUGUGUGUUCCUGGUCUCAGUUGGGUUUUGUGGGGAUUUUUAGUUAAAAUCCCUCCAAACUUAGCGCGCAUCAUUCCGGCCACUGCCUGCCCCACGAGGAGCAAGCAAAAGCGCAAUUAAUUACUUUAAGGUUUCUUUGGGAAGUACAGUAUGUGAAAAAGCCCUCUUUUGAUUGCUGGUGUGUCGGGAAGAGCAGCCGCUCUCCAGGAGCGCGCUUUCCCAGGCAGAUUUUGGGAUGCAGACACUGGGCUGGCAUGCGCAGGAAGGUUCCAGAACAGCGGUGCCGCCUGUUCCCCGGGCAAGGGAGCGCCCCAGAGCACCCACCUCUUCCUAGGGACUGCGCGAGGGGAAUGAGCAAUCAGGCUCAGCACAUCUCGCUGUCACUCGGGAGGGGGGAUGCCAAGGGAAAGCUUGAGCACUGCGUGUUUGGGAUGUGGAGAGCUCGGCUGCCUUCGUGCAGGCGUCGUUUGGUCUUCAACAUGGCUGGCACUGACACAGCUACCUUCCUUCCUGCAUGCGGCUCAGUGCAAUGUGUGACAGUAUCGCCGCUGAAAUGCAGAAUUCUCCGUGGUUUACACUUUCUGUAAAGACAAACAAUUUAAUUUGCAUGUAUCAAAAAGAAAAUGGUGGCUUCUCAUCUCUCGGUGAAGACUGAAUAGAAAACUGAUGUGGUGAUGCCUUAACACUGGGGCACUGUUUCACAGAGAAUAAUGUAUGCGCUGAACUGUCAUCAUAAAAUUAGACAAACUUUUUAAUGAGCAGUGAAUGUUUUAAGAUGCAGUUCCUUUCCCUGCACUUAAUGUCUGAAUGUUAUAAAGGGUGUCUGCCUUAAUAGAACACACUCAGGCUCAUGUGUUGUGGUACAGAUAAAACAGGGAAUAGGCUAGAGACGGGAAAUGUAAGUGUUAUCCAGGAACUGAUUUUUCUUAGGCUUUUGCUGUGGGAUAUUCAAUGAGAUGAAAAAGUAUAAAUGGUAAAUGGUACAUAUUUAUCAUCUGAGCAUUAUUGAUCUAGAUGAAAAGAAAACAAGUAAAAAUCAGCAUUUUAAACAGAACUUAAAAAUGAAUCUCUGAGACUUUGAAACCUGUAAUCAAUGUAAAUUGGAGGGGAGGAGAAGGAAGGGAUUGGGGGAACAGUUGCAG